UGCGUAGGUGGUGAGGUAAGUCGGAUGUGAAAGCUCCGAGCUCAACUCGGAAAUGGCAUUGGAAACUACCUUGCUAGAGGGUUUGGAGGGGGGACUGGAAUAUUUGGUGUAGCAGUGAAAUGCGUAGAUAUCAAGUAGAACACCAGUGGCGAAGGCGAGUCCCUGGAAAACUCCUGACACUGAGGCACGAAAGCUAGGGGAGCAAACA
rnacentral:rRNA from 1 species